CGGCGGACGGGUGAGUAAUGCCUAGGAAUCUGCCUGGUAGUAGGGGACAACGUUUCGAAAGGAACGCUAAUACCGCAUACGUCCUACGGAGAAAGCAGGGACCUUCGGGCCUUGCGCUAUCAGAUGAGCCUAGGUCGGAUUAGCUAGUUGGUGAGGUAAUGGCUCACCAAGGCGACGAUCCGUAACUGGUCUGAGAGGAUGAUCAGCCACACUGGAACUGAGACACGGUCCAGACUCCUACGGGAGGCAGCAGGC
rnacentral:rRNA from 1 species